rnacentral:rRNA from 1 species
UGAGGAAUAUUGGUCAAUGGACGAGAGUCUGAACCAGCCAAGUAGCGUGCAGGAUGACGGCCCUAUGGGUUGUAAACUGCUUUUGUUUGGGAAUAAUCGACAUUACGUGUAAUGUUUUGCAUGUACCAUUCGAAUAAGGACCGGCUAAUUCCGUGCCAGCAGCCGCGGUAAUACGGAAGGUCCAGGCGUUAUCCGGAUUUAUUGGGUUUAAAGGGAGUGUAGGCGGUUGGUUAAGCGUGUUGUGAAAUGUAGAUGCUCAACAUCUGACUUGCAGCGCGAACUGGCUGACUUGAGUACACACAACGUAGGCGGAAUUCAUGGUGUAGCGGUGAAAUGCUUAGAUAUCAUGAAGAACUCCGAUUGCGAAGGCAGCUUACGGGAGUCUUACUGACGCUUAAGCUCGAAGGUGCGGGUAUCGAACAGG